rnacentral:guide_RNA from 1 species
AUAUAUAUAUCAAUUUGUCACGUUUCCUCAGAU